rnacentral:tRNA from 1 species
GCGCCUGUAGCUCAAUGGAUAGAGUACAUGUUUCCGGGGCAUGGUGUUAGGGGUUCGAGUCCCUUCAGGCGCGCCA